GUCUACGGCCAUACCACGCUGAACGCGCCCAAUCUCGUCUGAUCUCGGAAGCUAAGCAGGGUCGGGCCUAGUUAGUACUUGGAUGGGAGAUAUAGUGUCUCCAAACCUAGACUGGCCAUAAACU
ensembl:rRNA 5S_rRNA 5S ribosomal RNA